rnacentral:lncRNA from 1 species
UGCCAUUUGUUGCUAGGAGAACCAUGGCAACUGGAUCGAAAAGUCACUCACGAUGAUCGUACCAAUAGGUAUUCUUUCAAGCAUCAAAGAAAGAAACUCACCUUAGUGCCGCUCACUCCGGAACAAGUCCAUGAGGACCAAAUCAAACUGAAAAAUUCUGUUAAAACAAGUGAGGAAAAAGAAAAAGAGAAUGAAAAAGAGCAAAAAGAGAUUGAGAGUGAAAAAGAAAUUGAAGAAAAAAGAGAAAAUGAAUUAGAAAAAGAAACAAAAGAAAAAGACGUGGAAAGGAUAGUGAGGAAUGUUUCCACUAACCAAGAUAUGAAUUUUUCUUGUGUUGCUACUUUUCAGGUUCUGGAAAGAUCGAAAGAUAACUUUCAACUUCAAUACCUCUCAAAUGAA